rnacentral:rRNA from 1 species
UACGUAGGUGGCAAGCGUUGUCCGGAAUUAUUGGGCGUAAAGCGCGCGCAGGCGGUCCUUUAAGUCUGAUGUGAAAGCCCACGGCUCAACCGUGGAGGGUCAUUGGAAACUGGGGGACUUGAGUGCAGAAGAGGCAAGUGGAAUUCCCGGUGUAGCGGUGAAAUGCGCAGAUAUCGGGAGGAACACCAAUGGCGAAGGCAGCUUGCUGGGACGGUACUGACGCUGAGGCGCGAAAGCGUGGGGAGCAAACAGG